rnacentral:rRNA from 1 species
AGUGAACGCUGGCGGUAGGCCUAACACAUGCAAGUCGAACGGCAGCACAGUAAGAGCUUGCUCUUACGGGUGGCGAGUGGCGGACGGGUGAGGAAUACAUCGGAAUCUACUUUUUCGUGGGGGAUAACGUAGGGAAACUUACGCUAAUACCGCAUACGACCUACGGGUGAAAGCAGGGGAUCUUCGGACCUUGCGCGAUUGAAUGAGCCGAUGUCGGAUUAGCUAGUUGGCGGGGUAAAGGCCCACCAAGGCGACGAUCCGUAGCUGGUCUGAGAGGAGGAUCAGCAACACUGGAACUGGGACACGGUCCAGACUCCUACGGGAGGCAGCAGUGGGGAAUAUUGGACAAUGGGCGCAAGCCUGAUCCAGCGAUACCGCGUGGGUGAAGAAGGCCUUCGGGUUGUAAAGCCCUUUUGUUGGGAAAGAAAAGCAGCAGGUUAAUACCCCGCUGUUCUGACGGUACCCAAAGAAUAAGCACCGGCUAACUUCGUG